UACGGAGGAUCCGAGCGUUAUCCGGAUUCAUUGGGUUUAAAGGGUGCGUAGGUUGUUUUAUAAGUUAGCGGUGAAAUACCGAUGCUCAACAUCGGGGCUGCCGCUAAUACUGUAGGACUAGAGAUCGGAUGCAGCAGGCGGAAUGUGUAGUGUAGCGGUGAAAUGCAUAGAUAUUACACAGAACACCGAUUGCGAAGGCAGCUUACCAGUCUGCGACUGACGCUCAGGCACGAAAGUGUGGGUAUCGAACAGG
rnacentral:rRNA from 1 species